rnacentral:rRNA from 1 species
CCUACGGGAGGCAGCAGUGGGGGAUAUUGCACAAUGGGGGCAACCCUGAUGCAGCGACGCCGCGUGAGUGAAGACGUAUCUCGGUAUGUUAAGCCCUAUCAGCAGGGAAGAAAAUGACAGUACCUGACCAAGAAGCCCCGGCAAACUACGUGCCAGCAGCCGCGGUCAUACGUAGGGGGCAAGCGUUAUCCGGAUUUACUGGGUGUAAAGGGGGCGUAGACGGGUAUGUAAGUCUGGAGGGAAAGCCCGGGGCCCAACCCCGGGACUGCUUUGGAAACUGUGUAACUGGAGUUCAGGAGGGGCAGGCGGAAUGCCUGGUGUAGCGGUGAAAUGCGUAGAUAUCAGGAGGAACACCGGCGGCGAAGGCGGCCUGCUGGACUGAAACUGACGUUGAGGCUCGAAAGCGUGGGGAGCGAACAGGAUUAGAUACCCGGGUAGUC